CUUUCUUUGAUCUAAAGCUAAAGAUCUCAAAUCAACUAAUCUCGUUUCCGUUCCUUCCGAACAUGCAUUCCCUGCAAAACAGUGGAUUUGGGGUGAACUAGAAGAAGAAGAAAAAAAACUUGAACCAAGAUGCCGCAGCAUGAUAACAUUUCCUCUCAAAAAUUGCUUUUCUAAGAUUUUGUGGAAAUCACAGCACGCACUAGAAGAUCAAAGAACUCCAUGCCCUCUGGACCCAUGUCAGUAAGAAACUACUUCAUUAGUCUCUUCACUUAAGCUUUCGCUCGAAUUAAUCUCGUGUGACUUUGUUAACCAUUUAGGUUGAUGGUUGUUUAAUGAAAAAAGAGAACAUGAUUUUGAAGAGGUUAAAGAUUGACAGUAAGUAAAGUUUCCAAAAUCUUGUUGUUGCUAGUAACUACUCUACUCUGAGCUUCUGAGUCUUGCAUUAGGUUGUUGAUUCUUAUCAUGUUUCUCACCUAAACUUCAAACCAUUUAUAUGCAAUUGAAGAUUUGGACUUGAAAGCUCUUUAAGUCUUCGAAACCAUCUAUGUGGAUCAACAAGAAUUAUCAAAGUACCAAUAAUCCUUGCCAAAAAAAUGCAAGGCGAUUAUCGACAUGUGUAAGCUGAUAUGGGUCAAGCAGCUAAGAGGAUUUCCCAGCAAAUAACGUUCCAUCUAGUAUCUAUCUCUCGUGAAAACAAUUUACUGGUAGCCAAGAUCAUGUAGUACUUACAAGACACGGAUUCUCUUUUAUGAGUUUUACAGAACUUUGUGAGUUUCUCGAUUUUGGACUAAAUGAUCACAUGAUCUGAAAUAAUAAUGUAGUCACUAAGAACAACUUUGAUCGUUGGUCUCGGUUGUGUUUCCUUUGGGGUUGUAUUGUGUUGUUUUUUAGUUGUCUUGUACUCGGUUCGUCCACAUAUCUCGUUGUGUUGAUUUAAAUAAAUUUUCUUCUAUGUGUCUCGAUAAAGGAAGAAAACAUAUACCAUAGAUGAGAAGAAUUCAAUAUGAAUGGAA